rnacentral:rRNA from 1 species
GAUGAACGCUAGCGGCAGGCCUAACACAUGCAAGUCGAGGGGUAACAGAAGAGCUUGCUCUUGCUGACGACCGGCGCACGGGUGCGUAACGCGUAUACAAUCUACCUUAUACAGGAGGAUAGCCCUAAGAAAUUGGGAUUAAUACUCCAUAGUAAUAUUUUAUUGCAUGAUAGAAUGUUUAAAACUACGGUGGUAUAAGAUGAGUAUGCGUCCUAUUAGCUAGAUGGUAAGGUAACGGCUUACCAUGGCGACGAUAGGUAGGGGGCCUGAGAGGGUUAUCCCCCACACUGGUACUGAGACACGGACCAGACUCCUACGGGAGGCAGCAGUGAGGAAUAUUGGUCAAUGGAGGCAACUCUGAACCAGCCAUGCCGCGUGAAGGAGAAUGUCCUAUGGAUUGUAAACUUCUUUUUUAUUU